CCAGCAUGCAGAGACUGGGCGCCAAACUCGGGUUUGUCUCAGGGUUGAUUCAGCGGGUGAAGGUGGAGGCGUUUGAGCGCAUGCUUUGGCGCGUCUGUAAAGGUUACACCAUCCUCAGCUACGCAGAAGUGGACGAGAGCCUGGCCGAUCUGGACACGGGGGAGAUCUGUAAGAACGUAGUGUUCCUCAUCUCCUUUUGGGGCGACCAGAUUGGGCAGAAGGUUCAAAAAAUUUGCGA